GCAGGACAGUCCUGCAACUCUUCUAGUUGCACCUCUUCAACUUCCAUCGCAUGAAACUCCUUUCAUUCUUCCAUUACAGAUCAAUCUUGCGCAAGAAGGAGUACCUGAAAUCCUCUCAGGCGCGUCCUUUUAGCUUCCAACACAAAUCAGUCUUCCACCUCAGUUAGGUCCUAUGCAGAAGGAGGAAACUGAAACUCCUUUCAUCCUUCCAAUGCAAAUAGUCCAUGCCUAGGAGGAACAAAUGGUAGUCCA
rnacentral:lncRNA from 1 species